rnacentral:tRNA from 1 species
AUUUAUAUAGUUUAAAAAAUAACAUUACAUUUUCACUGUAAAAAUAAAAAAAAUUUUUUUAUAAAUA